rnacentral:rRNA from 1 species
UACGAAGGGGGCUAGCGUUGCUCGGAAUUACUGGGCGUAAAGCGCACGUAGGCGGCUUUCUAAGUCGGGGGUGAAAUCCUGGAGCUCAACUCCAGAACUGCCUUCGAUGCUGGAAAGCUCGAGUCCGGGAGAGGUGAGUGGAACUGCGAGUGUAGAGGUGAAAUUCGUAGAUAUUCGCAAGAACACCAGUGGCGAAGGCGGCUCACUGGCCCGGUACUGACGCUGAGGCGCGAAAGCGUGGGGAGCAAACAGG